rnacentral:rRNA from 1 species
GAUGGACGCUGGCGGCGUGCCUAAUACAUGCAAGUCGAGCGAACAGACGAGGAGCUUGCUCCUCUGACGUUAGCGGCGGACGGGUGAGUAACACGUGGAUAACCUACCUAUAAGACUGGGAUAACUUCGGGAAACCGGAGCUAAUACCGGAUAAUAUAUUGAACCGCAUGGUUCAAUAGUGAAAGACGGUUUUGCUGUCACUUAUAGAUGGAUCCGCGCCGCAUUAGCUAGUUGGUAAGGUAACGGCUUACCAAGGCAACGAUGCGUAGCCGACCUGAGAGGGUGAUCGGCCACACUGGAACUGAGACACGGUCCAGACUCCUACGGGAGGCAGCAGUAGGGAAUCUUCCGCAAUGGGCGAAAGCCUGACGGAGCAACGCUGCGUGAGUGAUGAAGGUCUUCGGAUCGUAAAACUCUGUUAUUAGGGAAGAACAAAUGUGUAAGUAACUAUGCACGUCUUGACGGUACCUAAUCAGAAAGCCACGGCUAACUACGUG